GGUCCAGGCGGCUCUUGGCACCAGCUUGUGCCUCGGUCUGAAGACCUCACAGGCCCUCUGGGGAUAUCACUUUCCUCUUCUGCCCCAGCUCUGCAUAACAAGGACCAUGCAGAGUUCCUCCCUGUGAUCUCAUGACAACAAAAUCAGAUGCUCAGCCAAUUCCAUGGAAAAGCAGUCUGUCACAUCCACCAUUUUGCUUCAUGCAGACCAACCACCCACUGCACCCAUCUAUUUUGGUGGUAAUCCACAUUGUAUGAUAACUGAGAUCUAUGUUUUUAGGCAGAGUGUAACUGCUAUUUUAUUAGGGGUUUUUAGCUCAUCAAGAUGGUGUUUGCAGAACCUAACAGAGCGAUAAAUUUGUUUGUUUUAAUCGUUUCCUUUUUUUUCCACCAGAGGUUAAUUGUUUGGUAUUCUUUGUUAAACUAACACUUUCGAUGGGUUAAGAACCACUAAAGCCACUUAAAUAAACAGACUGUUCAGGUAAGAACAGGAAAGCUAGCAUAGACACAAGCUAUUAACUGUCUGGAUUGGGGCCUGGACUGUUAGUUAAUUAACAUUCACAAUGAUGUGGAUUCACUGGGAG
rnacentral:lncRNA from 1 species